rnacentral:rRNA from 1 species
AGUGAACGCUGGCGGUAGGCCUAACACAUGCAAGUCGAACGGCAGCACAGUAAGAGCUUGCUCUUACGGGUGGCGAGUGGCGGACGGGUGAGGAAUACAUCGGAAUCUACUUUUUCGGGGGGGAUAACGUAGGGAAACUUACGCUAAUACCGAAUACGACCUACGGGUGAAAGCAGUGGAUCUUCGGACCUUGCGCGAUUGAAUUAGCCGAUGUCGCAUUAGCUAGUUGGCGGGGUAAAGGCCCACCAAGGCGACGAUCCGUAGCUGGUCUGAGAGGAUGAUCAGCCACACUGGAACUGAGACACGGUCCAGACUCCUACGGGAGGCAGCAGUAGGGAAUCUUGGACAAUGGGCGCAAGCCUGAUCCAGCCAUACCGCGUGGGUGAAGAAGGCCUUCGGGUUGUAAAGCCCUUUUGUUGGGAAAGAAAAGCAGCAGGUUAAUACCCCGCUGUUCUGACGGUACCCAAAGAAUAAGCACCGGCUAACUUCGUG